rnacentral:rRNA from 1 species
GACGAACGCUGGCGGCGUGCUCAACACAUGCAAGUCGAACGGAAAGGCCCUGCUUUUGUGGGGUGCUCGAGUGGCGAAAGGGUGAGUAACACGUGAGUAACCUGCCCUUGACUUUGGGAUAACUUCAGGAAACUGGGGCUAAUACCGGAUAUGAGCGCCUGCUGCAUGGUGGGGGUUGGAAAGUUUCGGCGGUUGGGGAUGGACUCGCGGCUUUUCAGCUUGUUGGUGGGGUAGUGGCUUACCAAGGCUUUGACGGGUAGCCGGCCUGAGAGGGUGACCGGCCACAUUGGGACUGAGGUACCGCCCCGACUCCUACGGGAGGCAGCAGUGCGGAAUAUUGCCCCAUGGGCGGAAGCCUGAUGCAGCAACGCCGCGUGCGGGAUGACUGCCUUCGGGUUGUAAACCGCUUUCGCCUGUGACGAAGCGUGAGUGACGGUAAUGGGUAAAGAAGCACCGGCUAACUACGUG